UACGUGAGGCAGCAGUGGGGAAUUUUGCACAAUGCACCAGAGCGUAAUCCUGCACAUAUCGCGUCCAGCAUGAAGGCCUUAGGGUUGUAAACUGCUUUUGUCCACGGAACGAAAAAGCUUCUCCUAAUNCGAGAGGCCCAUGACGGUACCGUAAGAAUAAGCACCGGCUAACUACGUGCCAGCAGCCGCGGUAAUACGUAGGGUGCGAGCGUUAAUCGGAAUUACUGGGCGUAAAGCGUGCGCAGGCGGUUAUGUAAGACAGAUGUGAAAUCCCCGGGCUCAACCUGGGAACUGCAUUUGUGACUGCAUGGCUAGAGUACGGUAGAGGGGGAUGGAAUUCCGAGUGUAGCAGUGAAAUGCGUAGAUAUGCGGAGGAACACCGAUGGCGAAGGCGAUCCCCUGGACCUGUACUGACGCUCAUGCACGAAAGCGUGGGGAGCACACAGGAUUAGAUACCCUGGUAGUCCACGCCCUAAACGAUGUCAACUGGUUG
rnacentral:rRNA from 1 species